rnacentral:rRNA from 1 species
AAUCUUCCGCAAUGGGCGAAAGCCUGACGGAGCAACGCCGCGUGAGGGAUGAAGGGUCUCGGCUCGUAAAACUCUGUUAUUAGGGAAGAACAAAGGUGUAAGUAACUGUGCACAUCUUGACGGUACCUAAUCAGAAAGCCACGGCUAACUACGUGCCAGCAGCCGCGGUAAUCCGUAGGUGGAAAGCGUUAGCCGGAAGUAUUGGGCGUAAAGCGCGCGUAGGCGGUUUCUUAAGUCUGAUGUGAAAGCCCACGGCUCAACCGUGGAGGGUCAUUGGAAACUGGGAAACUUGAGUGCAGAAGAGGAAAGUGGAAUUCCAUGUGUAGCGGUGAAAUGCGCAGAGAUAUGGAGGAACACCAGUGGCGAAGGCGACUUUCUGGUCUGUAACUGACGCUGAUGUGCGAAAGCGUGGGGAUCAAACA